GAUGAAGAACGAAGCGAAAUGCGAUAAGUAGUGUGAAUUGCAGAAUUCAGUGAAUCAUCGAAUCUUUGAACGCACAUUGCGCCCCUUGGUAUUCCAUGGGGCAUGCCUGUUCGAGCGUCAUUUGUACCUUCAAGCUUUGCUUGGUGUUGGGUGUUUGUCCUGAGGGACUCGCCUUAAAGUGAUUGGCAGCCAGUGUUUGGUUUUGAAGCGCAGCACAAGUCGCGAUUCAAAGCUAUACGCCCGCUUCCACAAGCCUUUUUCACUUUUGACCUCGGAUCAGGUAGGGAUACCCGCUGAACUUAAGCAUAUCAAUAAGCGGAGGA
rnacentral:misc_RNA from 1 species